rnacentral:rRNA from 1 species
CCUACGGGUGACAGCAGUGGGGAAUAUUGCGCAAUGGGCGAAAGCCUGACGCAGCGACGCCGCGUGAGGGAUGAAGGUCUUCGGAUCGUAAACCUCUGUCAGCAGGGAAGAACGGUCACUGUGCUAAUCAGCAGUGAAUUGACGGUACCUGCAAAGGAAGCACCGGCUAACUCCGUGCCAGCAGCCGCGGUAAUACGGAGGGUGCGAGCGUUAAUCGGAAUUACUGGGCGUAAAGCGCUCGUAGGCGGUAUGUCAAGUCAAGGGGGAAAUCCCCGGGCUCAACGUGGGAACUGCCUUUGAAACUGGGAAACUGGGGUGUGUGAAAGGAUAGUGGAAUUCCCGGGUGAGGAGUGAAAACCGGAGAAAUUUGGAGGAAAAUCAGGGGCGAAGGCGACUAUCUGGCACAUAACUGACGCUGAGGAGCGAAAGCGUGGGUAGCAAACAGGAUUAGAUACCCGUGUAGUC